GAGCGAACGCUGGCGGCAGGCUUAACACAUGCAAGUCGAGCGGGCGUAGCAAUACGUCAGCGGCAGACGGGUGAGUAACGCGUGGGAACGUACCUUUUGGUUCGGAACAACACAGGGAAACUUGUGCUAAUACCGGAUAAGCCCUUACGGGGAAAGAUUUAUCGCCGAAAGAUCGGCCCGCGUCUGAUUAGCUAGUUGGUGAGGUAACGGCUCACCAAGGCGACGAUCAGUAGCUGGUCUGAGAGGAUGAUCAGCCACAUUGGGACUGAGACACGGCCCAAACUCCUACGGGAGGCAGCAGUGGGGAAUAUUGGACAAUGGGCGCAAGCCUGAUCCAGCCAUGCCNNNNGAGUGAUGAAGGCCCUAGGGUGUAAAGCUCUUUGUGCGGAG
rnacentral:rRNA from 1 species